AAAGAAAAUUAAAAUUACAAUCAAACCAGCAGCAGAAAAGACCACAGCAAGUCUGGAUGAGUUUCGAUCAAUUCAACUUACUCUACCGACUCCUCCGGUAUGGGUGAGUAUUAUGUAAUAAAGCAUGUAUGGAAUUACCUGUGUUCACAUACUCUACUGUUAAAUCAGAAAUAAACUGGUCAAGGCUCGAAGCAUCCACAAAACGUACCCUAUUUCAGAUCAAAGCUAGGGGAAGCGGAAGUAAAAAUCUUGGCUUGCAAGUUGACCAAGCGGAAUGUAUUCCUUAAUUUUACACCAAGCAAGUUCGUAUAGCCUGCAGGGGAGGCACAUACCUAUAUAACGUAUAAUCAGGAGUACUCGUUUGGGCUGUAUAAUCAAUUUUAUAUCUUUUCUUGUAGCAAAAGAAAAGCGAGUCAACGUCAUCAGGUAAAAUAUUAACGGUCUUGAUUAGACCAUUAGUACGUUGUAAUACGACCAUUAACAUCGUUCGUAAAGUCUCACAAAACAGCCUAUUGCAUGUCUUGUUAUAUAGAUUGCGAUUUUCCGAAAACAACAUUCCUAAAUGGAUCAGGUGUUCAGUCUUCUCACAAACUGUAAGUAUUGAUCCCUAUAAUAAAUUGACGAAAUACCGUAUGUCAUCAAGUUGUACCAUUCCUUUACAUUUGGCAGGUUACACAUUACACAUGCAGCGUUAAUUCCCCCUGUAAAGGCCCGUUUACACGGGCGAUUUUUGCUGCAAUUUUAGUUGCGAUUUUCUCCUUUUGGAGGAUGUGAAGGAGUGGAUGAGUUAUAAAUGUUCCAG